rnacentral:misc_RNA from 1 species
GGAAGUAAAGUCGUAACAAGGUUUCCGUAGGUGAACCUGCGGAAGGAUCAUUGCCACACACGAUCCAAGAUCGACACUAACUGUGAAAUAUUACUGUAAUAUAUGAUAUUAUUUGUGCUGGUUUUUUCUUUUGGGGGAAACUUGAAUAAAUAUUAUCUUAUACACAAUUUUACCAAAACUAAAUUGAAUAAUUCAAAUAGGAACAUAAAUGUUAUUUAAAGUCUGUCUUUAUUUAACGCUAGAUUGAAAAUUGUAUAAACAACUUUUAACAACGGAUAUCUAGGUUCUU